GUGCUUGCUUUGGCAGCACAUAUACUAAAAUUGAAAUAAUACAGAGAAGAUUAGCAUGGCCCCUACACAAGAUACACAAAUUUUUUUUUUUACAUAAAAUUUCAUAUU